rnacentral:rRNA from 1 species
UACGUAGGGGGCAAGCGUUGUCCGGAUUUAUUGGGCGUAAAGAGCGUGUAGGCGGCCUGACAAGUCUGCUGUGAAAACUCGAGGCUCAACCUCGAGAUGUCGGCGGAAACUGUCUGGCUAGAGUCCGGAAGAGGAGAGUGGAAUUCCUGGUGUAGCGGUGAAAUGCGCAGAUAUCAGGAGGAACACCGGUGGCGAAGGCGGGUCUCUGGGCCGAAACUGACGCUGAGGAGCGAAAGCGUGGGGAGCGAACAGG